CCUACGGGUGGCAGCAGUGGGGGAUAUUGCACAAUGGGGGAAACCCUGAUGCAGCGACGCCGCGUGUGGGAAGACGGUCCUCUGGAUUGUAAACCACUGUCCCCAGGGACGAAGAUGACGGGACCGGGGGAGGAAGCGCGGGCUAACUACGUGCCAGCAGCCGCGGUAAUACGUAGGGAGCGAGGGUGGUCCGGAAGUACGGGGUGUAAAGGGAGCGGAGGGGGGGAGGCAAGUUGGGGGUCCAACCUACCGGCUCACCUGGUAGUCGCACUCCAAACUGCAGCUCUUGAGUGCAGUAGAGGCAGGCGGCAUUCCUCGUGUAGCGGUGAAAUGCGUAGAUAUUAGG
rnacentral:rRNA from 1 species